AACGAACGCUGGCGGCAGGCCUAACACAUGCAAGUCGAGCGCCUCGCCAGGGGAGCGGCGGACUGGUGAGUAACGCGUGGGGAUAGGCACUUUGCUACGGAAUAGUCUCGGGAAACUGGGGGUAAUACCGAAUACGCCCUAUGGGGGGAAGAGUUAUCGGCCAAGGUUUAGCCCGCGUUGGAUUAGGUAGUUGGUGGGGUGAUGGCCUACCAAGCCGACGAUCCAUAGCUGGUGUGAGAGGAUGAUCAGCCACACUGGGACUGAGACACGGGCCAGACUCCUACGGGAGGCAGCAGUGGGGAAUAUUAGACAAUGGGGGCAACCCUGAUCUAGCCGUGCCGCGUGAGUGAUGAAGGCCUUAGGGUUGUAAAGCCCUUUCAGCUGGGAAGAUAAUGACGGUACCAGCAGAAGAAGCCCCGGCUAACUCCGUG
rnacentral:rRNA from 1 species